UGAGGAAUUUUUCACAAUGGACGAAAGUCUGAUGGAGCAAUACCACGUGGACGAUGAAGGUCUUCUGAUUGUAAAGUUCUUUUAUUUAGGAAAAAAAGCGUGCUAGGAAAUGAGCGCGCCUUGAUGGUACUAAUUGAAUAAGUGACAGCUAACUAUGUGCCAGCAGCUGCGGUAAAACAUAGGUCACGAGCAUUAUCCGGAUUUAUUGGGCGUAAAGGAAGCGUAGGCGGGGAGGUUGAUCCAUUGUUAAAAGCAUUUGCUUAACAAAUGUGUGCAUUGGAGAUCGCCUCCCUAGAGUUAAUCAGGGGGUACUGGAAUUCAAUGUGUAGCGGUGGAAUGCGUAGAUAUAUUGAGGAACACCAGAGGCUAAGGCGAGUGCCUAGGAUAUAACUGACGCUGAGGCUUAGAAAGCGUGGGGAGCAAAUGGGAUUAGAUACCCCAGUAGUCCACGCCGUAAACGAUGAGC
rnacentral:rRNA from 1 species